GCUCCUGCAGCGCCGCAAGCCUGCGCUGCAGCUCCGCCAUCUCCUCCUGGUUCAACAGGAAGUCUCUUUACUUACUUCACAGCUGUAACCAUUAUUGCGGCUCCCUGUGCGCUCCGGUGGGGAUGCCUCCUGUCCCGUGUGACCGGAGGGGCAACAUGGCCGCCAGGCUCCACUCACCACAGAACGGCACUGAGGGAAAACCUGUAAUUCUCAGAAGAGCCAGAAGGUGGAAUCAAAGUUCAACACCAGGAUCAGGGUUUAUAAUUUGGUUCUUAUGGAACCGGGGUGUCCGGUUCUGGUCCUGGAGGGCCACUAUCCUGCAGGAUCCUGCUGGUGAACGUCUGAGCCUGACGUGUUGAUGCUCUGAGGAGGGUAGAUUUACGAGGAUUUGUGUGC